GGGUCCAUUUACCAUCUCUGUGUUUGUUACAUUUCCUGGAACAAACAGCUGGUUAUAACAGGUAGCUAUUUUGGCUCAAAGAGGUUGAGGGUGCAGUCCACACCGCAGAGUGAGCAGCCUGAAGCUGUGGAAGGACUAUGAAGCUGCUUGCUAAUGGCUUGGUGGAUGAGGCAGCAGGGAGUGGACAGGAAGUGGGGUAACCCCUCAAAGACCCACUUCUCUACCAAGGCUCCGCCUCCCAAAGGCUCCACAGUGCUUCCUAAACAGCGCCACCUGCUGGGGACCAAGUGUUUAUACAUCUGAGCCUGCAGAAGACUAAGUCCCCAUGCGUUCCUCCUAGGGUACAGCUGUUUUCCAAGGUGCUGCGGGAUCCGGGCUCAGCACAGCUGCUCCUCGGGACAUCUGAGGGGAGAUGGCGAGGCUGGGUCCUCAGCCUGUGGGGCCUUGUCCUGAGCCUCAGGAUAAGCACGAGGAGACAGAGGACAGCGGUUUGCACAGCGUGACCUACACCUCACCCAGAACUGCAGUCAGGCCUUAGCCACAGAGCUCCGGCUGGGGACAGUGGCAGACCUACACAGGAGUCCUCUCCGUGGGGACUUGAUCAGCCUGGCCCCGCACCUGGGAUCCUGGGCAUCGCCAGCUUCCAGGCAGCCUGACUCACAACUUCAGCCUGCUGAAUGACUCAGGGAGCCCACAGGGGCAAACAUGAGUGGAAAUUGCAGUGGAUUAGAUGAAUUUACUGCUUCAGGAAAACUGCGACACACCUGGAGUCUCUGGGGACACUGGGACUCAAGGAGUCUGUCUUGGGGCUCAGGAGUUCUACAGAAUUCUAGCUCCUAUUCUGACACCGCAAGCUGGAUUGGGCCCUUUUCAUGGUCUCCUUGCUUCCUUCCACCCAUUGCCAUCUGUUCUGGUGUCUUACCUGUAGGAACAGCCUUCAAGGUGGGGGUGCAAGGGACCGGAGCCCAGGAGUCUCCCAACUGCUCAGCACAGAUGGAAUUGUGGACUGACACCUGUCACCACGAUGCCAACCUUGACACCUCAGGCCCCACCAUACCAGCCCCAGGCACUGGGCCCACUCCACCUUCCAUAUAUGGCCACGAAAACAUCCAGGUGGGGAUAGAAGGGUUAGGUUAUGCUUCCUCAUCGUGGCUGAAGUCGAGGGACAAUGUAGGCUAGACAAGUUGUUUCUCUUGUUGCUGGGGUACAAUACCCAGCAAAGGGUUUGUCUCGGCUCACAGGUUUGCGGCACAGUGGUUGGGAAGGCCUAGGGGCAUGAGGCAGGAAGCCACACUCCAUCUGCAGUCAGGAAACAGAAAGUGUAGCCCAGAGAAUGCUGCUGCCCACAUUCAGGUCCCUCAGGAACACGCUGAGUCUAUGUCAUGUGAAGCUGACUAUUGCUAGCAGUCAAGAGGAGGCCACCCACAGUCACCCACUGUCAUUAACAUGGACACCGUCACUCAUGAUCACCAUCACUCACAUGGUCACUGUCACUCAUGGUCACCAUCAUUCAUGGUCACUGUCACUCAUGGUCACGAUCACUCACAUGGUCACCGUCACUCACAUGGUAACCGACACUCAUGGUCACCAU